GACGAACGCUGGCGGCGUGCUUAACACAUGCAAGUCGAACGGAAAGGCCCUGCUUUUGUGGGGUGCUCGGGUGGCGAACGGGUGAGUAACACGUGAGUAACCUGCCCUUGACUUUGGGAUAACUUCAGGAAACUGGGGCUAAUACCGGAUAGGAGCUCCUGCUGCAUGGUGGGGGUUGGAAAGUUUCGGCGGUUGGGGAUGGACUCGCGGCUUAUCAGCUUGUUGGUGGGGUAGUGGCUUACCAAGGCUUUGACGGGUGGCCGGCCUGAGAGGGUGACCGGCCACAUUGGGACUGAGAUACGGCCCAGACUCCUACGGGAGGCAGCAGUGGGGAAUAUUGCACAAUGGGCGGAAGCCUGAUGCAGCAACGCCGCGUGCGGGAUGACGGCCUUCGGGUUGUAAACCGCUUUCGCCUGUGACGAAGCGUGAGUGACGGUAAUGGGUAAAGAAGCACCGGCUAACUACGUG
rnacentral:rRNA from 1 species